CACCCCCACCAGAGGCCCCAUCCCAUCCUCCCACACAGGCCUUGUGAAUUUGCCUGUCGAGGCUGUAUCUGCGCCCCCCUGAGUCUCCUGGAGGGCGACUGAGGGCCCGUCAGGCACUGGCGCUGCUUCCUCCGCCAUCUCGAAGAUGCGCCUGUACCCACGGCAGUCACCAUAGCAACACAGCCACGCCAGGGGGCGCUGUCCCGAAAACAGGUUGCCUGGAAAUGGGGCUCAGGCUGGGCAGGGUCGGACCAGAGGGAGCCCCGUCCCCUCUUUCUGAGGAGGAGGCAAAGAGAGGGGAAGCCAGGUUCCAGACGGCCUGCACCCUCAAUUGGCCCAUCAACAACUAUUUGUUAAGCGCUACACUCUGCCAAGCUUUGUUCCAGGCCCUGGGGAUACAAGAUUUAAUUUAAAAAAAAACUUGCCCUGUGGGCCAGAGGACCAGAGGGUUGUGGAAGCCUGCAGAGGGAAGACAGCGACGCUGUGACCUGUGCCGGAUGGAAGCAAGAGCAGACUGGGAGGAAGGUCACCCUAAGGCAGGAAUGCCUGAGCUCAAGUUUGAGUAAAAAGCCCACGAGGGAGAGAAAGGCAUUCCAGGCAGGGAACAGCAUGUGCGAAGGCACAAAGGUCAGAGCUAGUGAGGAUGAAGCACAACCAGGUGCCUCGGAGCGCCUGGAAACAGGCUGCGCCGGGAGCAGCAGCGGGAGCAGGCUGGAGACGGAGCUGUCGGCUUCCAUCUGCGUGGGUUUGAUGCCUGCUUCAAGUUUCCGCUCCCGUUCAGAGGUGGUGAUUGAAGGCACCGGAGGGGAACUGCGCGUCUUCCAGGAUGAUGAGAAUGAUUUGCGGGCUAACGACUCUAUGUCUAUUCUUAUGCAGGGGGCUGGCGCCAGGUGCCCCCUCCUACGGGGACCUCGGUUCUUCAGCGAGGCCCGCUUCCCAGGGGCGGCCCUUCCAGGUCACAGGAAACCGCUGCUUAGGCCCAGGGGUGCGCGCAGCUGCAGGUCCAGGGCGCAGCCUCCCUGACACACCGCUGGCACCCUCAGGCUGCCAUGGUUGGUGAGCUCCCUGGAGAGCUCCCUCGGCCGGCUCUGAGUCCUCUGGGUCGGUGUCAGUGGUCAGAGGCAGGAAGUUCUUUCUCAAGUUCAACCUCUGAUGGGAAGGGCCGAGACACUAGGCUGACUCAAGGGGCCAAGUCCUAGGCCCAGCUCGACCGCUACCACUCAGUGCCCACCCCCGGGUCAAAGAAGCUUAGUUGGUGGCCCUUGAGGUUCUGUCAAUUCAGAGUUCAAAUCCAAGACACCCUGCAGAUCGCUCUCAUUCUGCUGUUCAGACCCCAGAAGACCCAAGGAGCCCCUUCUCCUGCUGGCCUUGCCCACUUCAGUCACCAUAAAACAAGGAACAAGGAGAAUAAUUCUGUCUGCUCCGCUCUGCGCUGGGGCCCUGCUCUCCAGCUGUUCCUGCCCCUGACACCGCCCCUCCUCCCCAGUAAAGAGCCGUGCCUUCCCCAUCAGAAUGGAGCCUCCCCACGGCUGGUCUCCAACCACACGUGACGGCCUCCUUUCCCAGGACAAUGCUGCUUCUCCUCCAUCCUCAGAUCUCCAGAACCCCUGUUCCCGAGGCUCAGACUCCACUUUCUCCCCGGACCGUGGAGACCAGGCUGGGCUGGAGCUUCUUAGAGCCACACCCGUACCCCUCAUGGAGCUGUUCGAUCUGGGUACACAGACAGUGGGGGAGGGGGCAUAGAGAUGUCCAGACCCCACUGAAGUUCUGAGAGCCCUCCAGCCCUCAGAAGAGCCCCCUGAAUCCCAGGGUCCACAGGCUGCGCUGGGUGAGCAGGGAAGGAGGCCCGAGGGUCCACCUGCUCCAAUCAGAGGAAUGACAGUGGCUCCUGCUCAGCUCCGCACCAGCCAGCCUUGCUGUGGUCAGGGCCAAAGAGGGGACUUCUUCCUCAGAGUCUCAAGACAGGUAGGGAAGGGGAGGGGAUGAGAUUGGGGGCCAGGGGACAGAAGCAGAGAACCUGGAAAGAAGGAGACAAGGAAUUUUCCUGUGUGUCUUGCAAAGUUUCUAUAAGGAGGGGCUCCGGGGCACCAACCUGUUCCACAAGGACGCCCCCCACGUGGCUGCCUUGGCCCAGCAAGCCUGCGGUUAUUGUGUAGAUUAUUUCACAGCAAUAAAAACAGCCAAACUUUCUAAAGCA
rnacentral:lncRNA from 1 species